rnacentral:SRP_RNA from 1 species
GCCAGGUGCAGUGGUGCACGCCUGUAGUCCUAGUUACUCAGGAGGCCGAGGCAGGAGGAUCGCUUGAGUCCAGGGGUUCUGGGUUGUGACAUGCUUUGCCAAUCAGGUGUCUGCACUAAAUCUGGCAACAGUAUGGUGACUUCUCGGGAGUAGGGGACCACCAGGUUGCCUAAGGAUGGGUGAACUGACCCAGGUCAGAAAUGGAGGAGAAAUGGAUGCCGUGUUGAUCAGUGGUGAACAGCCUGUGAACAGCCACUGUACUCUAGCCAGGGCUACACGGCAAGACCUCGUCUCU